UGGGGAAUAUUGCACAAUGGGCGAAAGCCUGAUGCAGCAACGCCGCGUGAGUGAUGAAGGUCUUCGGAUUGUAAAGCUCUGUCUUUUGGGACGAUAAUGACGGUACCAAAGGAGGAAGCCACGGCUAACUACGUGCCAGCAGCCGCGGUAAUACGUAGGUGGCGAGCGUUGUCCGGAUUUACUGGGCGUAAAGGGUGCGUAGGCGGAUGUUUAAGUGAGAUGUGAAAUACCCGGGCUUAACUUGGGUGCUGCAUUUCAAACUGGAUAUCUAGAGUGCAGGAGAGGAGAAUGGAAUUCCUAGUGUAGCGGUGAAAUGCGUAGAGAUUAGGAAGAACACCAGUGGCGAAGGCGAUUCUCUGGACUGUAACUGACGCUGAGGCACGAAAGCGUGGGUAGCAAACAGGAUUAGAUACCCUGGUAGUCCACGCCGUAAAACGAUGAGUACUAGGGUGUAGGAGGUAUCGACCCCUUCUGUGCCGCAGUAAAACACAUUAAGUACUCCGCCUGGGAAGUACGAUCGCAAGAUUAAAAACUCU
rnacentral:rRNA from 1 species